rnacentral:rRNA from 1 species
UACAGAGGUCUCAAGCGUUGUUCGGAUUCAUUGGGCGUAAAGGGUGCGUAGGCGGCGCGGUAAGUCGGGUGUGAAAUCUCGGAGCUUAACUCCGAAACUGCAUUCGAUACUGCCGUGCUUGAGGACUGGAGAGGAGACUGGAAUUUACGGUGUAGCGGUGAAAUGCGUAGAUAUCGUAAGGAAGACCAGUGGCGAAGGCGGGUCUCUGGACAGUUCCUGACACUGAGACACGGAAGGCCAGGGGAGCAAACGGG